rnacentral:rRNA from 1 species
GACGAACGCUGGCGGCGUGCUUAACACAUGCCAGUCGAACGGAAAGGCCCUGCUUUUGUGGGGUGCUCGAGUGGCGAACGGGUGAGUAACACGUGAGUAACCUGCCCUUGACUUUGGGAUAACUUCAGGAAACUGGGGCUAAUACCGGAUAGGAGCUCCUGCUGCAUGGUGGGGGUUGGAAAGUUUCGGCGGUUGGGGAUGGACUCGCGGCUUAUCAGCUUGUUGGUGGGGUAGUGGCUUACCAAGGCUUUGACGGGUAGCCGGCCUGAGAGGGUGACCGGCCACAUUGGGACUGAGAUACGGCCCAGAUUCCUACGGGAGGCAGCAGUGGGGAAUAUUGCACAAUGGGCGGAAGCCUGAUGCAGCAACGCCGCGUGCGGGAUGACGGCCUUCGGGUUGUAAACCGCUUUCGCCUGUGACGAAGCGUGAGUGGCGGUAAUGGGUAAAGAAGCACCGGCUAACUACGUG